GGGGUAUUUAUAGCUUCUCGGGUGGUUGUGGACACUUAGGGCUUCAAAAAUAACGAAAGGAAUUAAUCUGGGCUUUAAUUAAGUCGUCGGGAAAGUGAACGACCAAGUUCCGCGGUCGUGGUGGCUCUACCCGCGGGAAAAUGGGUGUUUGCCGCGGUCCCGGCACUUGCUCUCUUCCAGAACUGCAUUUUCUGUCAUUCUUGCAU
rnacentral:lncRNA from 1 species